rnacentral:tRNA from 1 species
GGAGGGCUAGCCUCAAUUGGCAAGGCAGCGGACUUGAAAUCCGCCUGGGCGCAAGCCCUUUGGGGGUUCGAAUCCCCCGCCCUCCGCCA